GCUUAGUCACAUAGAGCAGUCCAAAUAUAAAUUGUCCUCUUCCUCCACACUUUGAGCUAAAAAGCAAUAGUAAACACAUCUUUUUGCUGCUAUAUUUCAGUGAAUCAGAAAAAAAAUCAGAAAAUGAGUUUCUUGUCAUCUUCCUCUGUCAAUAUGGACAAAGAUUAUUGAUUAAAGAAACACACUUUUUUAUAUACAUUUUUAUCCUGUUUCAACAAGUUUUGUGCAUCAUAUUUUUAUCAAAGAGUUGUGAAAUUACUCCAAGAUUUCAAUUGCAAUGUCUUCUGAACUUUUUGUAUUUGAUAACACUUUCUUUGCUGACCCUUUUUCUCCUUCUUUCAUUGAUCAACACCAUGAUAAUAAUAUCUUCCAAGACCAAAACUUUACCAUGCCAACCAACUGUUUAAUUCAAGAAACACCAAUUGAUGACCAAAUUGCUUCAGCUUUUCUCUCAUCUUCACCUCCAAGUCAUCAACUUGAAAAUCUUUCACUAUGUCAAGUUGGUUUAGAUGGAUUUGGUGAUUACUCUAUUAAAUCAGAGGACUUUCAAGUCAAUUUUGAGUCUGAUUUUGGUUCUAGUAACACUUUAAUGGUGCCUCAAAGUUGUGCAGAGAAUCAUGAUGUGAAGUUGAUGCAGAGGAGUUUUAGUAGCAAUUCAUUUGAUAAUAAUAAACCAAGUUUCUCCAUUUUUACACCUCAGUUUGAUAGUUUAAUUGAGUCUCCAAAUUUCCAAACACCCGCACUUAGCUCCCCUGAUGAAAACAGCUUUUCUACAGGUCAAAUGAGAAGGGUUUGCAGCACUGGUGACUUGCAAAAGAUGAAGACAAGUCAAACAAGAAACACUUUAUCUUCAAGUCCAUUAUCAGGAGAAAGAACAUUCAUAGAAGAAGCAGCAAAUAUCAAAGUGGGGCGUUAUAGUGCUGAAGAAAGAAAAGAGAGGAUUCAUAGGUACAGAGCAAAAAGAACCCAAAGAAAUUUUAACAAGACCAUUAAGUAUGCAUGUCGGAAAACACUAGCCGACAAUCGUCCAAGGAUACGUGGCAGAUUUGCACGUAAUGAUGAAGCUGGUAUAGAGAUUCCAAAAACUACAAUGUUUAAUAGAUUUGAAGAUGAAGAUGAUCUUUGGUGGCUGAUUCAACAAUGAACUCUCGAGUUUAGCAGAAUUCACUACUUUUGAAUCGAAUCCUAUAAAAAGAAAUUGAGGGAGUUCAUGAAGAGGAAGAAAAUCAAGGCUCAAUAGGGAGAACACAAUUCUAUCACAACUUUGGUUCAAUGACACAGUAUCAUCAACAAUAUUCAAGCCACUGAGUUGGGUCGUGAUGAGAGAUUUGUUUUAUAAUUAAGUGGUUAAAGUUUGGAUUAAUUACCUUGACUAAUGACCGUGCAAAUUAAGGACUAUAUUAGCACAUGGGAGCAAAGAUAAGGCAGAUGGUAGCUUUGCUUUAUGAAUAAGUUAAUUAGGUGCUCUUGCAAGUGCUACAAUUUAUAUGUCUAUGGAAGGAGUAGACUAGCUAGUAUUGAGAAGAAACUGUUUUUCUCUCUUUUUUAAAAUUUUACUUAGAGGCUUAAUUACGGGGCCAUGUACAACUUAUUGUCCUCUAUUUUAUUAAAAUUAAGAUUACUAUCAACUGAAUCUGUAAAUAAAUAUGGUUGUUUUAUUUA